AUUGACAUUUUAUCAGUCAGCGUUGACUUAAUAUGUGCCUUUAACGUGAGCUCCUUUAUUCAGUUCUGUAGAAGGGAGAUGUUUGCGCACAAGAAACGCAAGGAGGAAAAUUAAAAAAUCUAACUUCACGAAGGAUCUUCCUGGAGACGAUGUGGGGAGAGACCAGUUCUGCCAGCUUUCCUUCCCCGAGGUUCAGAAUACGUACGUGUUACCAGAUAACGGUAUAGGAAGGUGCCACGUCCGGUGCUUCAUGCCUGAUGACAUUACGAGCGUUGGAUAUAAGAAAGUCUUCCUCCCAGACAACUCUCCGUGCAACGAAAGCGGCGGUAGUGUCUGCAUAAACGGCGACUGCGUAAACAAGAAGCCUAAAUAUGUAUUUUAUCAGCCAACAAAAUAAUCGUGUAAAUAAAAUAUGAAGUUGCAAGAAAAGCCA
rnacentral:lncRNA from 1 species